AACUUACAAAUCCAUCCUCAGAAAUAUCAAUCAGCUGGUAAUCAGUACGAUUGACAUGAGGAACCUGCAAACCAGAAACAACACCCAUUAAUCCUGAAAAAGUGUAAGCAGUAAUAAAGCAUCAAAUUAGAUACAUGGCAACAUAUAGACCAACAAAAGCUCAUACAUCACAGUUGUGCGAAGAUGGAACAAUAUCUUCAAGCUUUUUCCCAUUGAAGAUGUCAAUCCCAACAAAGUGGCACUUAGCAUGACCAUGCUUACCAGUCUUAGAGGUGGAAACUUCCACAACCUGAUAAAAUAAACUCUAGGCAUUAGUUGCUCAGAAACCAAGCAAAAUAAAUAAUUCAUAUCAAAUACUGUCACAUUAAUAGCAAAAACACAACUGAAAAACAAAGCAUCCGUAAACAUGGCACUCAAGUUUUCCUAACAUAUUAUCAUCAUCAAAAUGACUAUGUGCAGAUUCUUAUACAUGACCGAACCAUCCUAAACAAUAUCAUGAACUAGAAGAGCUAAACUGAGUAAUAGCAAUAGCAUGAGAGUAAAAUGUGCCUGAAACCAUGAUCGUUUUAAAUCAUAUAAUUUAUAUUACAAAAUCCUACAACUAGGAUUAGAACCUUUGGGAUUUGGGAAUCAAUUCUACAGAAAUAUCUGCUUCUAUCCUGUUAGAGUGAAACCACCACUCUUCAUUCGAGCUCAGUGGACUGAGAAAUUAAACUUUUGGGGCAUAUAUGUUACCACUAGUACUACCUUCUUUACUUUGUUCUUUGCUUUGAGUAUAACAGUAGUCGUAAUUCAAGUUCUUCCCACAUCUUUGAAUUUGAUCAGCUUUGCCAAAGAGGAAUUAUUGCUUGCAGAAAUUGAUUGAAACCAAUGAUAAUUUGAUAUUUUAAUAGUUUUCCAUUUUAAAUCAAAAAAGAAAUUUCCAUUUUGCAAUUAAAAUUGCAAAAGUUCGAGAUCCAUACGAAAAAACAUUCAAGAAAAAUCCAAAAUCAUAAACAUAAAUUUCACAUCAUAAUAAAAAUUUGAGAAUCAAAACUCACAAAACGAAAACAAAAACAAAAAAAGGUAGCCCUAAAACUGGGAAUGAUACAUUCACAACUGAGAACCAAUAAAAGCCGCAAUCUCAACUCAGAUCAAGCAAAAUAAAACCCCGGAAUACAGCAACCUCCACCGAAUAAAUCCCAGGGUUGAUUGAAAAAUUACAAAGUAAAGGAUCUAAAUAAAUUCUUAAAGCAGUAUAAUAAUAAAAACCUAAAAGUCUGAAGAAACAAACAGAGCCUCAAAAAUAACAUUCAAAAAAUAAAAUCGAGAACAAAUUUUGCCAUGAAACAAGCAGAAUAAGGAAAAACGACGGAUCAAGAAAUAGGAGAUCGGAGCGAGAGUAUACCUUGCAAGGGCGAGACUUAAUGACAAUGUACCCGUUCUUGCGGAUCGUGCCAGCUUGCUGAGGAUAGGUCUUGGAGGCUCCGGCGUCGCCCUUGGACUCAAAGUGAUGCUCCUCGUCAGACAUGACUCGCUAGAUCGGGGACUCGGAUGACUCGCUGGUUUCUGACUCACUGAUUCAGGGGAUGCGAGUUUUAGAAUCG
rnacentral:lncRNA from 1 species